rnacentral:snRNA from 3 species
UUGCUUUGGCAGCAUUUACACUAAAAUUGGAAUGAUACAGAAAAGAUUAGCAUGGCCCUUGUGCAAGGAUGACAUGCACAUUUGUGAAGUGUUCCAUAAUUUU